rnacentral:tRNA from 1 species
GGCUCUAUAGUGGAAAGAAAGAUAUUAGAUUGCAAAUCUGAAGAUGUGUUUAAAUGGCACUAGGGCUU